GCCAUCGGCCAUACCACGCUGAAUGCGCCGGUUCUCGUCCGAUCACCGAAGCUAAGCAACAUCGGGCUCCGUCAGUACUUGGGGGAGGGGAACACGGAGUGCUGAUGGCA
rnacentral:rRNA from 1 species